rnacentral:rRNA from 1 species
CCUACGGGUGGCAGCAGUGAGGAAUAUUGGUCAAUGGACGCAAGUCUGAACCAGCCAUGCCGCGUGCAGGAAGACGGCUCUAUGAGUUGUAAACUGCUUUUGUACGAGGGUUAACGCACAUACGCGUAUCUGUCUGAAAGUAUCGUACGAAUAAGGAUCGGCUAACUCCGUGCCAGCAGCCGCGGUAUAACGGAGGUUUCAAGCGUUAGCGGGAUUUAUGGGGUUUAAAGGGUGCGUAGGGGGUCGAAUAAGUUGUAGUUGAAAUCCUGAGGCUAAAAGUCGGAAUUGGCUCAGAUACUGUUCGGCUAGAGAGUAGUUGCGAUAGGCGGAAUGUAAGUGGAGCGGUGAAAUGCUUAGAGAUCAGACAGAACACCGAUUGCGAAGGCAGCUUACCAAGCUACUUCUGACGUUGAGGCACGAAAGCGUGGGGAGCAAACAGGAUUAGAUACCCCAGUAGUC